rnacentral:rRNA from 1 species
CCUACGGGUGGCAGCAGUGAGGAAUAUUGGUCAAUGGGCGCGAGCCUGAACCAGCCAAGUAGCGUGAAGGAUGACUGCCCUACGGGUUGUAAACUUCUUUUAUAAAGGGAUAAAGUGAGGCACGUGUGCCUUUUUGUAUGUACUUUAUGAAUAAGGAUCGGCUAACUCCGUGCCAGCAGCCGCGGUAAUACGGAGGAUCCGAGCGUUAUCCGGAUUUAUUGGGUUUAAAGGGAGCGUAGAUGGGUUGUUAAGUCAGUUGUGAAAGUCUGCGGCUCAACCGUAAAAUUGCAAUUGAUACUGGCAGGCUUGAGUACAGUUGAGGUAGGCGGAAUUCGUGGUGUAGCGGUGAAAUGCUUAGAGAUCACGAAGAACUCCGAUUGCGAAGGCAGCCUACUAAACUGCCACUGACAUUGAUGUUCGAAAGUGUGGGGAUCAAACAGGAUUAGAUACCCCUGUAGUC